CCAGAAAGGGACGGCUAANUACGUGCCAGCAGCCGCGGUAAUACGUAGGUCCCGAGCGUUNUCCGGGUUUAUUGGGCGUAAAGGGAGCGCAGGCGNUCAGGAAAGUCUGGAGUAAAAGGCUAUGGCUCAACCAUAGUGUGCUCUGGAAACUGUNUGACUUGAGUGCAGAAGGGGAGAGUGGAAUUCCAUGUGUAGCGGUGAAAUGCGUAGAUAUAUGGAGGAACACCAGUGGCGAAAGCGGCUCUCUGGUCUGUCACUGACGCUGAGGCUCGAAAGCGUGGGUAGCGAACAGGAUUAGAUACCCUGGUAGUCCACGCCGUAAACGAUGAGUGCUAGGUGUUAGGCCCUUUCCGGGGCUUAGUGCCGGAGCUAACGCAAUAAGCACUCCGCCUGGGGAGUACGACCGCAAGGUUGAAACUCAAAGGAAUUGACGGGGGCCCGCACAAGCGGUGGAGCAUGUGGUUUAAUUCGAAGCAACGCGAAGAACCUUACCAGGUCUUGACAUCCCGAUGCUAUUCUUAGAGAUAGGAAGUUACUUCGGUACAUCGGAGACAGGUGGUGCAUGGUUGUCGUCAGCUCGUGUCGUGAGAUGUUGGGUUAAGUCCCGCAACGAGCGCAACCCUUAUUGUUAGUUGCCAUCAUUAAGUUGGGCACUCUAGCGAGACUGCCGGUAAUAAACCGGAGGAAGGUGGGGAUGACGUCAAAUCAUCAUGCCCCUUAUGACCUGGGCUACACACGUGCUACAAUGGUCGGUACAACGAGUUGCGAGCCGGUGACGGCAAGCUAAUCUCUGAAAGCCGAUCUCAGUUCGGAUUGGAGGCUGCAACUCGCCUCCAUGAAGUCGGAAUCGCUAGUAAUCGCGGAUCAGCACGCCGCGGUGAAUACGUUCCCGGGCCUUGUACACACCGCCCGUCACACCACGAGAGUUUGUAACACCCGAAGUCGGUGAGGUAACCUUCUAGGG
rnacentral:rRNA from 1 species